CCUUUCCCAUUAAAAAGGAAACGGCGAGGGAUGACGCUCAUUCAGUCCCCUGUCUCCCAUCUAGCAGCCACCGCAUCCGUAUUUUCCUUGCGUGGUCUGGAGCGCACCGCCGCUGCCGCAUAGCUCUUCCUCGGUCACCACCAGAAUUCCCAAGCCGAAAUGGCAUCGAAGAAGGGUGGCAAGGCAAGCAAGGUGUCCAAGACCAUCAACUCAGAGGCGUAGGUACGGAAGGAGGCCACUGCAAAGAAGCAGAGGGAUAACAUUAUCUUCGUCCCGGUGGCGCUGACAUCCAACGACCUCACCGUCCGAUAUGGAUGAACGAGACCUCAUGGAUGAAGAGUUCGACAACGAGUACGAUGUCUUGAGGAGUCCCAGUCAGUCUUGCGUUGCUGGAGUCUGCUGUUGGAUUAUUUCAUCGCUUCUGCCGCCACGAAUAAAUCAUCAAGCCUCACUCUGAUGCUUGGUGCGUAGUAGUACUUGUUAUGUCACAUUACUCUAAUGUGUCAUGCCCCUUUUAUUACGAACACUAGGGUUAUCACAUUACCAUGUAACAUAUCCAUCUGUGUGAGACUUGGACAAGUUGUAAUAAAUUGUAGAGCAACUUCUGCUCUACCUGUUUAAAAUUAAGUACUACUGGUUUUUUGUA